AGCCCUCUGUAUCCGUGCUGAUAUUUCGUCACACACCAGACCACAAGGGCCGAUGGGGCUCAAGAUGAGUGAAGCG
rnacentral:pre_miRNA from 1 species